ACAGCAGUAGCCGCGGGAAUACGAAGGGUGCAAGCGUUACUCGGAAUUACUGGGCGUAAAGCGUGCGUAGGUGGUGGUUUAAGUCCGUUGUGAAAGCCCUGGGCUCAACCUGGGAAUUGCAGUGGAUACUGGGUCACUAGAGUGUGGUAGAGGAUAGUGGAAUUUCCGGUGUAGCAGUGAAAUGCGUAGAGAUCGGAAGGAACAUCUGUGGCGAAGGCGACUAUCUGGGCCAACACUGACACUGAGGCACGAAAGCGUGGGGAGCAAACAGGAUUAGAGACCCCGGUAGUCCCUGUCUCUUAUAC
rnacentral:rRNA from 1 species